rnacentral:snRNA from 1 species
GUGCUCGCUUCAGCAGCACAUAUACUAAAAUUGGAAUGAUACAGAGAUUAGCAUGGCCCCUGCACAAGGAUGACAUGCAAAUCUGUGAAGCGUUCCAUACUUUU